rnacentral:rRNA from 1 species
UACAGGCGUGGCAAGCGUUACUCGGAAUUAUUGGGUGUAAAGGGCAGGUAGGAGGCCCGGUAAGUGAGGGGUGAAAUCCCACGGUUCAAUCGUGGAACAGCCUUUCAAACUGGCGGGCUUGAGAGCGACAGAGGAUGAUGGAAUUCCCGGUGUAAGGGUGAAAUCUGUAGAUAUCGGGAAGAACACCAACGGCGAAGGCAAUCAUCUGGGUCGCUUCUGACACUGAGCUGCGAAAGCUAGGGGAG